rnacentral:tRNA from 1 species
GCCUGAGUGGUGGAAUGGUAUACACGCGACACUUAAAAUGUCGUUCGCUCUGCGAUUGUGGGUUCGAGUCCCGCCUCAGGCA